rnacentral:rRNA from 1 species
GUGGGGAAUAUUGGACAAUGGGCGCAAGCCUGAUCCAGCCAUGCCGCGUGGAGGAAGACUGCCCUCUGGGUUGUAAACUCCUUUUAUAUGGGAAGAACCGUCCUCAUUAAUGAGUGACCUGACGGUACCAUAGGAAUAAGCACCGGCUAACUCCGUGCCAGCAGCCGCGGUAAUACGGAGGGUGCAAGCGUUAUCCGGAUUCACUGGGUUUAAAGGGUGCGUAGGCGGAUAAAUAAGUCAGUGGUGAAAUCAACGGGCUCAACCUGUUAACUGCCAUUGAUACUGUGUAUCUUGAAUAUGAGAGAGGUAGGCGGAAUGUUGCAUGUAGCGGUGAAAUGCUUAGAUAUGCUACGGAACACCGAUUGCGAAGGCAGCUUACUAUUUCGUAAUUGACGCUGAGGCACGAAAGCGUGGGUAGCGAACAGGAUUAGAUACCCGUGUAGUCC